GUGCUAGGGAAAGGAUCGCUAAAUCAUGAGAAUCUGCCAAAGCUGAAGAAUGUACUACUUGUAGAAGGACUCACGUCAAAUCUGAUAAGCAUCAGCCAGCUAUGUGAUCAAGAUCUUGAAGUGAGAUUCAACAAAUUCGCAUGUCGAGUAUUAGACAAAGAUGAGAAUUGUGUUAUUCAAGGAACUCGAUCAUCUGACAACUGCUAUAUUCUUGUCUCUGCUGGACCACUGGAAGAGGAACCAACAAAGGAAUCG